UACAGAGGAUGCAAGCGUUAUCCGGAAUGAUUGGGCGUAAAGCGUCUGUAGGUGGCUUUUUAAGUCCGCCGUCAAAUCCCAGGGCUCAACUCUGGACAGGCGGUGGAAACUACCAAGCUGGAGUACGGUAGGGGCAGAGGGAAUUUCCGGUGGAGCGGUGAAAUGCGUAGAGAUCGGGAAGAACAUCUGUGGCGAAGGCGACUGCCUGGACCAGCACUGACACUGAGGCACGAAAGCGUGGGGAGCAAACAGG
rnacentral:rRNA from 1 species